GACGACGAGGUAGAUAGGGCAGAGGUGGAAGUGCCGUAAGGCAUGGAGCUGACUGUUACUAAUCGGUCGAGGGCUUGACCUAAUU
rnacentral:rRNA from 1 species